UCAUUUAAGGUCAAUGAACUUUGGCCAAAUUGAGGGUAUCUGUUGAAUUACCAUCAUAACUUUGAGAGUUUAUGGAUCUGAUUCAUGAAACUUGGACAUAAGAGUACCUAUCACUGAACAUCCUUUGCGAGUUUCAGGUCACAUAAUCAAGCUCAAAGGUCAUUUAAGGUCAAUGAACUUUGGCCAAGUUGCGGGUAUUUGUUGAAUUACCAUCAUAACUUUGAAAGUUUAUUGGUCUAGUUCAUACAACUUGGACAUAAGAGUAAUCAAGUAUCACUGAACAUCCUGUGCGAAUUUCAGGUCACAUGACAAAGGUCAAUGAACUUUGUCCAUUUUGGGGGGUAUCUGUUGAAUUACCAUCAUAACUUAGAAAGUUUAUGGACCUGAUUCAUGAAACUUGGACAGAAGAGUAAUCAAGUAUCACUGAACAUCCUGUGCCAGUUUCAGUUCACAUGACCAAGGUCAAAGGUCAUUUAAGGUCAAUGAACUUUGGCCAUGUUGGGGGUAUUUGUUGAAUCACCAUAACUCUGUAAGUGUAUUGGUCUAGUUCAUAAAACUUGGACAUAAGAGUAAUCAAGUAUCAUUGAACAUCUCUUGCGAGUUUCAGGUCACAUGACCAAAGUCAAAGGUCAUUGAACUUUGGCCAUUUUGGAGGUAAUUAUUAGAUUGCUGUCAUAACUUUCAAAGCCUACAGAUAUAGUUUAUAAAAUGUGGAUAUAUGGGUAAUCAAGUAUCACUGACAAGUCUUAGGUCGCAAGAUCAAGGUCCAAUGUCAUUUAUUGUCAAUGAACGUAGUAUUGUAUCAUUAUAUGAAUGGUGUUUUUUGUGAAUCAUUAUUUUAUAGUAGUUUUCAAAGUCAGCACUGCUGCUAUAUUGAAUCGCGUGAUGCAGGUGAGACUGCCAGAGGCGCUCCACUUGUUAUGAAUUGUAUUCCGAAAACUAUGGCAUGCAUAUUCACUUUUUCAAUUGUUUGUAAGAAAUAAAUCAUGAUUAUUUCUUGUGGUUGAUGUGAAAUUGACAAAGUUUGACAAGUGGCCCAACACAGAAACCAAAGAUGUGUGGUGUCUGUAGGAUAACCCAGUUCUGAUUCCAAGAAUUGAAAUUAUAUCGGAACUAUAUCACUUUCAUAAUACUGGCUCUUGUUAUGGUAUGCCUAUAAAAACUUUAUUUAUGUUGAAUUUUGAUGUAACAAUUAUAUACAGAACUUUUCAUUGUGUAGAAUUUGAAAAUGUCUUUUUGAUGUAGACAGAUUGCACCGUUCAGAUGUUGUAUUAGAAUGAAAUUUGUUUCCUGAUUAGUUAGAAAUUGUUUUUUAUUAAGAUUCCAAACAAACAGGAAUGUGAGAAAGGAUAAAUAGUCAGAAUUCAUCCUGCCAUUUUAUAGAUUGUUCAUGUGUAUCAUAGAUCUAUUUUGGUUCAGACUUGUAAAAUAUUAAGCAUGUAUAUUCAAAUGUGCUGUAUUUAAUGUUUGCUAUGUACAUGUACAUACUGUAUUUAGAAAUCCCUAUUUUUCUGCAGUUUUAUGUAGAGUGUAUGAUCCAGAUAAAAUGUUGGGGAUUUUUUUUUUGUAAUAUGAGGCUUGAACAUUUACCAGCGGGAAGAAAGAUGACCUACACAUGUAUUUAUCCUGAUUAUUUUUUUUAUUAUUUUUUUUAUAGAUAUUACUAUAUUACUAUUACUUUAUCCCUCUCUGUAUAUGUUGAUUGAUAUAAUAUUAUAUUGUUAUUUUGUUGAGUAUUUGAUGCAUCCAUACUCAUUCAAAUGUAAUUUUUGAUUAAUUUUGCAAAAAAAAUUGUAUUUAUGAUAAUUCUUAUUUUGCUUUGAACGGUGUACCUUCGACCUAAUGUGAGAAGCCCGCCUUGCGCAUGCGCCUUGCCACUUUCGCUACGUCUUGUGUUUUACCACAUCCAGACAUUUUGAUACGGAGUACAAAAGUUACAAAAUUUCCACAAGUUGAAACAUUCAAGAACAUAUUUCCUCACCAGAAAAUGUCACAUUUGUGAUAUUUCCUCUUUUUUCUUUGCUGAUAAUUUUUCCAAACCAGUUCUUAAUCAUUCCAUCAUGAAAAAUUUGGCAAUUUGAAUUGGCACAGCUAACAAUCCCAGCAUCACUCACUGGAAUCCCUAUUUGAUUAGACCUAUAUAAAAAAAAUUUGCAAACAUUCCAGUGAAAAUUCAUUUUCACAGAAUUUCUUCUCAAUAUCCCUCGUGUCUUUUGGAACUUAAGAAUUAUAUAUCAAAUCCCAAAUAUAUCAAACAAAGGGCAAAUUUUGGGCACAUGGUGCUAACUUCAUGCGAGUUGAAAGUAUAGGACAUGUCAUCUGGAUCCCCCCCCCCAAAAAAAAAAAAUUAUAAUAAAAAAUAAAAAAUUCAGUCCGAAUUUAUUUGAAGAAACCAUGGUCUAAACACUAAAUAGUCUAUCAAGUCAACUGAGUGCCCUUUCCAAACACAUUAGAUAAAGUAAAUUUGUAUCACAAAUCUGCAUAAAAUACCAAAUGUAUGAAUUCUGGACAUUAACUCAAGCUGUCUGUUCCAUUAUUUUCCAAUGGUACCUGUCAUGGUACAACUAUAUGCCUUUUAAUUUGUCCUCGUUUUAGUUUUCUCGGUCACUUUUUGUUAUCGUGAAAUGUUUAUAUCAUCAAAUUCAACUGAUAUUCCUUGCCAUAUGUUAACCCGAUUAUCCAGAUGAGAGUAGACCUCUACCAGUGUUGGGUUGAUUUUGAAUUAUUAUACAUUAUAAAUGGAUGUACACAUUUGUUUUAUUUAGUUGGUUGUGAUAGGCAUACUAGUAUAGCAAAUAAUACAAGCAACUCAAAUAUAUCAAAUGGGGCUGGUUGCAUAGAGUUACAAUCAAAGUACAUCAAAAGUCAAUUUCAACCUUAUUUUCAACCAGUCAGAGGCACCUAAUUGAGACUUUGGUUUUCUUUUUUUAUUUAUUUAAGUUUGAAGCAAAAUUUCCUGCAAUGGGCCAUGAUGAUGUUAGUAUUUCGACGCAGCAAUAACUGUUUAAGCAGCAAAUUUACAUAUUAUAUAACUCAGUUUCCCUAGAAAGUAAGGGCCUAUUGAAAUAUAUACUUCAUGUUAAAAUAGGUUGAUUAUGUUAGGAAACCGUUUUAUGUGGUUAAAUCUUGGUGUAUUUGGAUUAUGUUUAAAAUUUCCACUCAAUUUUGUGUUAUAAGUAUAUUAUUUUUAUUGUGCAUAAUUAUGGUAUUGUUUAAUGGUUAUUUAUUUUAUGUUUUUAUUUAUUUUUUCAUCAAUAAAUCGUGAUGAGAAACAUUAUUGUCAUGGCAAAGUAUGACAAGUGCAUACAGGACAGAAUCAUUUUCAUAAAAAAUUGUAUGAUGUUUGAAAGAAAGAUGAUCUUGUAUUGAAUCUCAAAUAUUGAUUUAUAUUAUUUCAAACACAAAUGAUAAAUUCAAUCACAAAACUAUCAAGAUCAAUCAACUCAUUAAAAAAUAAUGAACCACCUGUAGAUCAAGUAAUAUUGAUCAUGAAAGAAUAUUGAAAUUGGCAUUCAAAUAGAGCUGUUUUACCAUGCUCUUCCCAAAGUUACUAGUGAUUUUAAAAAUGAAUGGAAUAUGAUUCCAAACAGGACACCCAACGUGUUACUGAUGUAUAACGAUUUGAUUCUGUUUCAAGCUUAUUGAUAUUGUCUCAAUUUUAACGUAAACAAUUUACAGAGACAAAAUAUCCCUCUGGCUUUGAUAUUCAAGUCACUGUUAAAGUUGUGCAUAAGUUUAUAAACAUUUUGUGAAAAACCUCCCAGCAUUCAUGAUCAAUAACCUAUUGAAGAAGUCAAUAUUGAUAGUGACAAUGUCUUUCAUUUGUCAUACUUUGUAGAUCCAUGGCUGAUGUAGAUCAUGUAUGGAAUAGUUUUGGACAUUUUUUUUUUUUGCUUGUCAUUUUUAUUUGUAUUUUAUAUACUCAAUUCUUAUUAUUUGGUUUCAUGUGUUCAUAUUGUUAAUAAAUAUAGAUAUGAAAAUAUAUAA